rnacentral:lncRNA from 1 species
GUUCUGGCUGCCCGUCGUGGCCACGGGUGGCCAAAGUGCUCGAGCACGCGGUGGGAUGCAGCGUGGCAAUGUAGAGCAGAUGGACACGGGAUGAGCCCUGCGCUGAGCCUGCUGCUGUCCCUGGCUGGCUGCACCCUGCUUCAGGGCGUGCCGUUCCCACCCCAGGACGUGAGGCUGGAGGCCCAAAACUUCCACGUGCAGCUGCGGUGGGAGCCGGACCCGCGCACCCCUGGCGAGGCCACGUACCAGGUGGAGUGGAAGAGGCGAACCUCCAACUGGACCAGGGCAGACGCCUCCUGGGGGAACCACACCAGCUCACCCUGGGUGUGCCAGCUGUAUUUCGACGAGAUCUACGAUAUCUACUGGGCGAGAGUGAGAGCCGCGGAGGACGGCGAGCUGUCCCCGUGGGUCUAUUCCAGCGAGCUGCAGCCAUACAGAGACACAAUUGUGGGCCCCCCCAGGUUGUCCUGGCUGUUCCAGGGCCACAUCCUCAGCAUCAACGUCACCGUGCCGCUCACUCCGUUCAGGGGCAAGAAGGGCUCCUACAAACCAGUCAACAAAGUGCUGCUGAAGCUGUGGUACUGGCUGCACCUCUACGACGGGAAUGUGCUCACCCAGCAAGUGCCCUGCAGGCGGAGCAUGAGAGGAGCACCGUGCACCUUGAGGCACCUGAAGCCGAGCACUCGGUACUGCGUCCGCACGGUGGCAGUGGGCAUGGCCCCCGAGCGGAGCCGGGAGGCUGAGCAGUGCCUGGUGACCCCGGCAGCUCCUGCAGGCUUCCCCUGGGUCCUCCUCGCCGCGCUGAAUGCCACCUUCCUGCUGCUGAGCGUGGCCGGACUCUGCCUGGUCCAUCUGUACAUCUUCCCAAAACCCUCGGAGAUGCGCCUCCCGAAAACACUCGCCCCUCUGGACGGGAGCAGCGGGGUGCCCACCCUCGCGCUGCGGGAGGACGCGCUCGCCCUGCUGCUGCCAGCUGGCAAGGAGCCGGCAGCGCCUGGAGCCCCGCUGCAGCCCAGGGCAAGGCGUCCCCAGGAGACGAGUGGUUACUGCCCCAACGGGUUUGGGACGGACCGCCCCGAGGGAUGGGACACAUCCUGCACCCACAGCCAGCCCGGGCAGGCACUUGGCACCUGGGCAUCGUUGCGGCUGGAGGAGGAGGAGGAGGAACACGACGGGGAUGCUGCGACAGCUUCCACUGACAGCAGCACAGGAGAUGGGGACUGUGGGACAUCCGAGACGUGGCUCCCCCUGCACCUCCAGCUUUAUUCCAAGUGCCCGUGGCCAUCUCCAGGAGCGGGUGUCAGCCUUCCUCCCUCCCUGCAAACCAUCAGCUUCAGCCCCAGGGAGCUGCGGGAGAGCGAGGCAGGGUGCUGGGUACCGCUCAGCUCCGUGAAGCUGCUGGCCAGCAAGGAGGAGGACGAGGGGCAGCUCCACCAUGCUGUCCACCCCCCGAGGACCGAGCUUCAGCCGGGUGACAGUGCCAUGCAGCAGGGUGACACGGGGCGGGCAGCACCAGGCUGCCCCUGCCCAGUGCCCCCAGUGCCCCCCGGCACGUCCCACAUGGGCACGCUCCAUGGACAGGUGGCAGCAACAUCUUCAGAGCACCCCUCUGUGGUUUUGGGUGCUUCUGAGGCAAAAUGUGAGGAAUAG